rnacentral:sRNA from 1 species
GUGUGUAUAGACCAUCGAUGCCAGCGUGUGGAUCUCCUGGGGGCACAGGAAUGUCGAAGCAAAUGCCAUGGACAUGGGGUCUGUGACAGCAACAGGCACUGCUACUGUGAGGAGGGCUGGGCACCCCCUGACUGCACCACUCAGCUCAAAGCAACCAGCUCCCUGACCACAGGGCUGCUCCUCAGCCUCCUGGUGUUAUUGGUCUUGGUGAUGCUUGGUGCCAGCUACUGGUACCGUGCCCGCCUGCACCAGCGACUCUGCCAGCUCAAGGGACCCACCUGCCAGUACAGUCUCAGGGGCCAGCCAAGCCCCCACCCCCAAGGAAGCCACUGCCUGCCGACCCCCAGGGCCGGUGCCCAUCGGGUGACCUGCCCGGCCCAGGAGCUGGAAUCCCACCCCUAGUGGUACCCUCCAGACCAGCGCCACCGCCUCCGACAGUGUCCUCGCUCUACCUCUGACAUCUCUGGACGUUCCGCUGCCUCCAAGCCGGACUUAGGGCUUCAAGAGGCGGGCGUGCCCUCUGGAGUUCCCUACCAUGACUGAAGGCGCCAGAGACUGUAUGCGGUGUCUUAAGGCUCCGGGCACCGCCACGCGCUGUCAAGCAGCACUCUGCGGACCUGCCGGCGUAGUUGCAGCCGGGGCUUGGGGAGGGGCUGGGGGUUGGACAGGGUUGAGGAAGGUCCGCACAGCCUGUCUCUGCUCAGCUGCAAUAAACGUGACAUCUUGGGAGCGUU